rnacentral:rRNA from 1 species
AGACUCUGUGCGCGUGCAUAUCAAUAAGCGGAGGAAAAGAAACUAACAAGGAUUCCCUUAGUAACGGCGAGUGAAGCGGGAAGAGCUCAAAUUUGAAAUCUUCAAGGUUCUACCUUGACGAAUUGUAGUUUAUAGAAGUGUUUUCUGUUAGUAGAGUGGCAAAAGUUCUUUGAAAUAGGACAUCAUAGAGGGUGAGAAUCCCGUAUUUGGUCAUUCUUUCUAGCUUUGUGAUACACUUUCAACGAGUCGGAUUGUUUGGGAAUGCAGUCCAAAAUGGGUGGUAAAUUUCAUCUAAAGCUAAAUAUUGGCGAGAGACCGAUAGCGAACAAGUACCGUGAGGGAAAGAUGAAAAGAACUUUGAAAAGAGAGUUAAACAGUACGUGAAAUUGUCAAAAGGGAAGCGUUUGACACCAGUGUUGUUUUUCCGAAAAUCAAUUACGAAUGUUUUGUUUUUGAGGAGUUAUGACUUCAUCGGCUUGCUCCUUUCUUUACGAAACUUUCUUAAUGCACUUUUCGGUUAACAAGUCAACAUCAAUUUCUUUUGUUGUAAAAGGGUAUGAGGAAGGUGGCUUUCUUUUCGGAGAAAGUGUUUAUAGCCCUCGUAGCCUCUGCAAUCGGAGAGAUUGAGGUCUGCAGCGUAGAUCCUUCGGGGUUAGAUACGUUUGUGCUAAGUUAUAGCUUUUCAUAGACAACUUGUUGACUAUGUUUAGUCUUGUAGCUUACUCGCUGAUGCUAUUUUACCUACGCUUAGGAUGUUGAACUCUAUCACACACAG